AUUGAACGCUGGCGGCAUGCCUUACACAUGCAAGUCGAACGGUAACAGGUCUUCGGAUGCUGACGAGUGGCGAACGGGUGAGUAAUACAUCGGAACGUGCCUAGUAGUGGGGGAUAACUACUCGAAAGAGUGGCUAAUACCGCAUGAGAGCUACGGAUGAAAGCAGGGGAUCGCAAGACCUUGUGCUACUAGAGCGGCCGAUGGCAGAUUAGGUAUUUGGGGGGAUAAAAGCUUACCAAGCCGACGAUCUGUGGCUGGUCUGAGAGGACGAUCAGCCACACUGGGACUGAGACACGGCACAGACUCCUACGGGAGGCAGCAGUGGGGAAUUUUGGACAAUGGGCGCAAGCCUGAUCCAGCAAUGCCGCGUGCAGGAUGAAGGCCUUCGGGUUGUAAACUGCUUUUGUACGGAACGAAAAGCCCCGGGUUAAUACCCUGGGGUCAUGACGGUACCGUAAGAAUAAGCACCGGCUAACUACGUGCCAGCCGCCGCAGUAA
rnacentral:rRNA from 1 species